ensembl:lncRNA
GUCCUGGGAAUCCGGAGUUAUAAAAAUAUCACAUAUUGGUAUGCUGCGCAGACAGAUCCAGGUAUAAUUUAAGAUGUGCACUCUCAGUAUUCACUGACAUCAGCCCUCCCACAUUCCCAAAGGUCUCUCGCUCUUCUGUGGAAAGUCGCGAGCGCACAUUCACGUGGCGGUGUGCUCUAGUUACCACAGCAACCGGGCCGAGGCAGUUUAUUGUAUAUUCCGCGCACAGUUCCCGACUCCUCCGUCCUCAACAAGUCAAAGACACUUUUCCCCCGUUUAAUUCUGUACUAAAACCACGAAAAGAGUUAUUUUCGCCAUUGGACGCAUCUGGAAUCUCAUAGACGAGCGUCAAUCCAAAAACACCAGCCUCCUCAAUGUAAACAACAACGAUGACGAUGCCACAAAGUGUAUUGACACCAUCUGUCAGAGCUCCAGCCGGUGCCUGAGGAUGAUCUCUUCAGACCAGUGAGCAUCCCCCUGACCUGGACAGACACUUACCGCCAAGCGAAAAGCCCAAAAAGGUGUGGUGAGCUAUGACCAUAAGAUGGAUAGCCGAGGAUGGCAUGGAAACAUCAUUAUCUGUGACCUUUGGUUGACUUGAACAUAUAAAAAAAGAAAGAAGGGAAAAAAAU